UCCCCAGUAGCUCAGAGGUUAAAGCAUCUGCCUGCAAUGCGGGAGACCUGGGUUCAGUCCCUGGGUUGGGAA
rnacentral:tRNA from 1 species